AACUGAAGAGUUUGAUCAUGGCUCAGAUUGAACGCUGGCGGCAGGCUUAACACAUGCAAGUCGAGCGGGGGAAGGUAGCUUGCUACUGGACCUAGCGGCGGACGGGUGAGUAAUGCUUAGGAAUCUGCCUAUUAGUGGGGGACAACAUCUCGAAAGGGAUGCUAAUACCGCAUACGUCCUACGGGAGAAAGCAGGGGAUCUUCGGACCUUGCGCUAAUAGAUGAGCCUAAGUCGGAUUAGCUAGUUGGUGGGGUAAAGGCCUACCAAGGCGACGAUCUGUAGCGGGUCUGAGAGGAUGAUCCGCCACACUGGGACUGAGACACGGCCCAGACUCCUACGGGAGGCAGCAGUGGGGAAUAUUGGACAAUGGGGGGAACCCUGAUCCAGCCAUGCCGCGUGUGUGAAGAAGGCCUUAUGGUUGUAAAGCACUUUAAGCGAGGAGGAGGCUACUUUAGUUAAUACCUAGAGAUAGUGGACGUUACUCGCAGAAUAAGCACCGGCUAACUCUGUGCCAGCAGCCGCGG
rnacentral:rRNA from 1 species